rnacentral:rRNA from 1 species
ACAAGCGGUGGAGCAUGUGGUUAAUUCGAUGAUACGCGAGGAACCUUACCUGGGCUCGAACGUAAGAUGACUGUAGGUGAAAGCUUACAUCUCUUCGGAGCAUUUUACGAGGUGCUGCAUGGUUGUCGUCAGCUCGUGCCGUGAGGUGUCGGGUUAAGUCCCAUAACGAGCGCAACCCUACCUUUAGUUGCCAUCAGGUUAAGCUGGGGACUCUAAAGGAACUGCCUACGCAAGUAGUGAGGAAGGCGGGGAUGACGUCAAAUCAGCACGGCCCUUACGUCCAGGGCUACACACGUGCUACAAUGGCCGAUACAGAGGGCAGCUACCUGGUGACAGGAUGCAAAUCUCCAAAGUCGGUCUCAGUUCGGAUCGGAGUCUGCAACCCGACUCCGUGAAGUUGGAUUCGCUAGUAAUCGCGCAUCAGCCAUGGCGCGGUGAAUACGUUCCCGGGCCUU